rnacentral:rRNA from 1 species
AGGGAAACCGAGUCUUAACUGGGCGUUAAGUUGCAGGGUAUAGACCCGAAACCCGGUGAUCUAGCCAUGGGCAGGUUGAAGGUUGGGUAACACUAACUGGAGGACCGAACCGACUAAUGUUGAAAAAUUAGCGGAUGACUUGUGGCUGGGGGUGAAAGGCCAAUCAAACCGGGAGAUAGCUGGUUCUCCCCGAAAGCUAUUUAGGUAGCGCCUCGUGAACUCAUCUUCGGGGGUAGAGCACUGUUUCGGCUAGGGGGUCAUCCCGACUUACCAACCCGAUGCAAACUGCGAAUACCGAAGAAUGUUAUCACGGGAGACACACGGCGGGUGCUAACGUCCGUCGUGAAGAGGGAAACAACCCAGACCGCCAGCUAAGGUCCCAAAGUCACAGUUAAGUGGGAAACGAUGUGGGAAGGCUCAGACAGCCAGGAUGUUGGCUUAGAAGCAGCCAUCAUUUAAAGAAAGCGUAAUAGCUCACUGGUCGAGUCGGCCUGCGCGGAAGAUGUAACGGGGCUAAACUGUGCACCGAAGCUGCGGCAGCGACGCUUAUGCGUUGUUGGGUAGGGGAGCGUUCUGUAAGCCUGCGAAGGUGUCCUGUGAGGGAUGCUGGAGGUAUCAGAAGUGCGAAUGCUGACAUAAGUAACGAUAAUGCGGGUGAAAAGCCCGCUCGCCGG